GUAAUUUUGACGUUUUAUUGAUACAUUUGUACAUUUCUAACUCUAUUAAAUAAAAAUAUGCCUCGAAGUCUUGGUAGCACGUUUUACAAAUAAAUUACAUCGACGAGUAAAGGGUGUAUUUUCGUAAACAAAAUUUGUCAUGAUUUCUUUUUGAAAAGCUCAUGUUUGGCUUUUUGGUUCCCUGUGGACAGUCCAAAGUGCAAGUUCACUUCGGAUAACUCCGGAAAAUCGAGGAAGUAGACGAGUAUCAGUUUGUCUUUGUCUUGCACCUAGUGCCCGAUCUGGUGGCAAUGUGUUUACACGGUAUCAUAAUAUGUAGCAUAUAAAGGUUGUUAUAUAAAUUUCAUGUCGAUCACUACUUGGUUAGGUCGACGAAAAGGAGACGGAAAUGUAUUUCAAAGCCUACCAAAAAUUAUUUAGCAGCCACGCAAGGCAAAUACACACUAAUGUAUCACGAAUAUUGUAUAAUCGACAUUAUGGUGUUAAUCAUAACAAAAAUAUCCGUUCCUCGCGUCUAUAUUGGAGCGGGUUUGGUGUGCUAGUCGUUGGGUUAAGUUAUGCUGCUGUGCCUUUAUACAGAAUAUUUUGUCAGGCAUACAGUUAUGGCGGUACGGUAUCAACUGGCCAUGAAGUUGAUAAAGUCAGUACCAUGAAACCUAUUAAGGAUAAAGUGUUAAAAAUAUCAUUUAAUGCAGACACCGCAGCAACAAUGCUUUGGAACUUUAAACCUCAACAGAAUUAUGUAAAAGUGGUUCCUGGUGAAACUGCGUUAGCAUUUUAUACAGCUAAAAAUCCAUUGAAUGAAACGAUUACUGGUAUAUCAACUUACAAUGUGGUUCCGUUCGAAGCAGGACAGUAUUUCAAUAAAAUACAAUGUUUCUGUUUCGAAGAACAGCAACUGAAUCCACACGAAGAAGUUGACAUGCCAGUGUUUUUCUACAUCGAUCCACAGUUUUCUGAAGAUCCUAGAAUGGAGCAUAUCGAUGAGAUCAUACUUUCUUACACGUUCUUUGAAGCCAAACCAGGAGUAAAAAUCCCCUUACCGAAGUAUCUAACAGAACGUACAUGAUAAUUCUAAAAUGUAUGUUCACUUUUAAACGAUGUACAUAAUUGUAUUGGUAAACAAAUGGUUUAAUAUAUCGUCAAUGAACAUCCAAUUCCAACUGAUUUUGAGAGGCCCUGCAGUCUCGUAGCUGAAAGUAAAAUCGAGUGAAUUUUAACCGCGAAAUUUUAGAUUUUUAAUUAAAAUUUACCUGCUCUUUGCAUCUGUCCAAACAAAUCUCCAACUUUUUUCUAUUUUGACGUAAGAUUUCGAUUUCUCCGAGCAAACAUUUCUCCGAAUCGUCGUGCACAAGUUCUGUACCUAUAUGUCGAUAGAAAUAAUAUGUAUUAUAAUACUAUUAAUUUAUGUACCUUCGUCGGAAUAAUAUAAACGUUGAAUUUCACUUUUCUAAAUUUGAUCAAUCAUCACCCUGUCUAGCUUCUCUAUGAUAAA